GUGGCUGGGAGUGUGCCAGGAAAACCUGAAGGAGGACUGGACUAACCUGCCUGCUAGAGGACUGCAUCUAGGCCUGCAGAUAAGACUAUUUAAUUCCUUGGUUUUGCUUUGUUUAUGCACUUCCUCUGCUGCUGCUGCCUGGAUCCUGCACACUGCUGCCCAGGAGAAGUGAGAGCAUAGGCAGGAGGUACCAAACCCAUAAGUGAUACAAGACAUACCCUGAUAAUGUGGAUGGGUGCCAUAUAAAUACCUAAGACACACAGGGUCUGCUUUCCCAGCAAGAGCCAAAACUAAAAUCACAAGGCUGGAGCACAGCGAGGCCUCCACAGUAGCCACUGCUGCCCUAACUGCUAUCCAGCAGCCCCCCGUGGACAGCUCCAGACAGCUGCUCACCUCGCCCGGGAAAUCAGGGGCAGGGGGAGCGUGACAAGGGGACCUGCGAUCACAGACCCCUUGACCCCCUCGCCCGCCGGCGCAGCACCGAAGGCAUAACCCAGCCCAGCUCACGGACCAGGCGGGCAAACCCAGGCUGGGGGUCACACACCCCGGAGCCCUGCAAUGGCUCCGAGGGGCUCCCCCCGUACAGGGCUCCUGGGGGGCGGCGGGGCAG